rnacentral:rRNA from 1 species
GUGGGGAAUCUUCCGCAAUGGACGAAAGUCUGACGGAGCAACGCCGCGUGAGUGAUGAAGGUCUUCGGAUUGUAAAGCUCUGUUAAUCGGGACGAAAGAGCCUAGUGUGAAUAAUGCUAGGAAGUGACGGUACCGGAAUAGAAAGCCACGGCUAACUACGUGCCAGCAGCCGCGGUAAUACGUAGGUGGCAAGCGUUGUCCGGAAUUAUUGGGCGUAAAGCGCGCGCAGGCGGAUCUGCCAGUCUGUCUUAAAAGUUCGGGGCUUAACCCCGUGAUGGGAUGCAAACUACAGAGCUAGAGUAUCGGAGAGGAAAGUGGAAUUCCUAGUGUAGCGGUGAAAUGCGUAGAUAUUAGGAAGAACACCAGUGGCGAAGGCGACUUUCUGGACGAAAACUGACGCUGAGGCGCGAAAGCCAGGGGAGCGAACGGGAUUAGAUACCCUAGUAGUCC